AACGAACGCUGGCGGCGUGCCUAACACAUGCAAGUCGAACGAGAAAGGGGCUUCGGCUCCGAGUAAAGUGGCGCACGGGUGAGUAACACGUGGGUAACCUGCCUCUAAGAUUGGGAUAACUCGUCGAAAGAUGAGCUAAUACCGAAUAAUACCACAGUUCCCGCGGGAACAGGGGUCAAAGGUAGCCUCUGCUUGCAAGCUAUCACUUAGAGAUGGGCCUGCGCACCAUUAGCUAGUUGGUAGGGUAACGGCCUACCAAGGCAAAGAUGGUUAGCUGGUCGGAGAGGAUGGUCAGCCAGCCUGGGACUGAGACACGGUCCAGACGCCUACGGGAGGCAGCAGUGGGGAAUAUUGCGCAAGAGGCGGAAGCUUGACGCAGCAACGCCGCGUGAGGGAUGAAGGCCUUCGGGUCGUAAAGCUCUGUCGGGAGGAACGAAUGCUCCUGAGGUUAACAGCCUCGGGAGGUGACGGUACCUUCAAAGGAAGCACCGGCUAACUCUGUG
rnacentral:rRNA from 1 species